CAGCCGCCACGGGAAUACGUAGGUGGCAAGCGUUGUCCGGAAUUAUUGGGCGUAAAGCGCGCGCAGGUGGUUUAAUAAGUCUGAUGUGAAAGCCCACGGCUCAACCGUGGAGGGUCAUUGGAAACUGUUAAACUUGAGUGCAGGAGAGAAAAGUGGAAUUCCUAGUGUAGCGGUGAAAUGCGUAGAGAUUAGGAGGAACACCAGUGGCGAAGGCGGCUUUUUGGCCUGUAACUGACACUGAGGCGCGAAAGCGUGGGGAGCAAACAGGAUUAGAUACCCCCGUAGUCCCUGUCUCUUAUAC
rnacentral:rRNA from 1 species